rnacentral:lncRNA from 1 species
AUGACGAUAUAAAUCUUAUGAUGGAUGCACUAGAUAGUUUCCUCCACGGGAUAGUUUCUCAAGAGGGAAAAGCUAUUAUUUUAUAAAUUUAGAUUUUGGAAACUUUCUCACGACUCAACUGUUGCUUGCUCUUUUUUAAAAAAAAACAAACAAACAACAAAAGUUAUUCAAUUUGCCAAUAUCGUUGUCUUUUCCCCUAUCUCGGCGUUCUUAAUUUCAUCUCUGUCACUUCUUUGAAUCCUUGGAGUUGGCUCUCUCUUUCUCUCUCUAUCUAUCUCUCUCUGUCUUAGUGCAAUGAUUUUAAUUUUUCCCUUGAUGAAAUGUUGUUUCCUUGCCACAUUCAAACAAUUUUUUCAUACAUCUUUUUGUGUUUUUCGCAUAUCAAAGACGUCAUUAAUAGUGACUUGAGACCGUUGCUGCUCUCGUUGAAGGUAAGUUGACGUUUUAUGAGUUCAUUUAGUUUUGCCAGAUGUUUUGUUAUUCCCUCUAUUUUUAUUGUUAUUGAUGCAAUUUGCUUGAAAUUAAUGACUUCUUAAAUUAUUGAGGAGGGAUAUUUUAAACCUAAUGUACGUUUAAUCUAGGUGGAUACAUUUUGCAAAGAUAAUUGUCUUUAUAUUAGGAUUAUUCCCUUAACUUAGCGUAUUUCUAAUUAUUUGUUUAAUAGAAUUAUGAUUAUGAAAUUGUAAUGAGAUUUUUUUUUUGGGUUGGGUAAAGGACACAAAUGUUUGUCAGAAAGAAUGUGAAAUUUUGUCAUUGUUAGUCAUGAUUACCGUUGGUUACUAAUGACUAGGCCAAUGAUUGUAUGCAUGGUUAAACUGAGUUGACUAUUGGGUUUUGUAAUUUGGAAACUACAAAAAGACUUCUAAUGUGGUGCCUUCUCAAGUGAAGUAGAAUAGUAAAAUUUAUCUUUUACCUUAGCUAAAAUUUAUCUAAUUAAUUGAAUUCUGCUGUAGAU